CUAGAGCAUACACAAUCACACCCCGCUCUUUUAUAACGAAACAAUACACAGUCCAAUUGUAGGGCUAAAUACAGAUCUGAAGGUGAAGGGUUUCGGAGUCUCUCUCUCUCUCAUCUUCUUCUUCUUGUUCUUCUUGUACAAAACACCCACACAGAACCCCACGAAGCUCAAUCGCAGAACAGAGAUUUCCUAAUGGCGCACCUCCUGGUCCUUAUUCCGGAACCAGUACUCUUGCUUUGGUGGCUCGUGUUUCUGCCUUCUCUGUAGGACUCGUUUAUGGAAGCAUGAAACUCAAGUAUCUCCAGGUACUCUUCCUAUUCCUUACCCUUGUUAUUUGGAUUUUUAAAUUUUUAAUAAUUUUCUCUCUUGUCUAAGCUUUCAUUUCUUAGUGUGUGUGUGUGUGUUUUUUUUUUUUUGUUAUUAUUAUUUUUGGAUUGAAAGAUUAAUAAGAAGAAAAAAAAAUCUAUCUCUAUAAUUGAAAAAA